AUGAAUACAACUGGGUUGUUGCUGGCUUCAAACGGAGCAUGUGCACACCCUGUAUCCAUAUACACCUGUGAACUUUCUGUGGGGUUGGCGAAAGCCCUCUCCAUGUUUUUACACACACACUAUAUUUAUUAGAAUGUCUACUGCGAUAAUACGCAUAAAUA
rnacentral:misc_RNA from 1 species